GGGAAGGUAGCUCAGUGGUAGAGCGCUUGCCUUGUAUGCCUGAGGCCCUGGGUUCGAUUCCUCAGCACCA
rfam:Dipodomys ordii contig_3157, whole genome shotgun sequence.